GUAGGUGGCAAGCGUUGUCCGGAAUUAUUGGGCGUAAAGCGCGCGCAGGUGGUUCUUUAAGUCUGAUGUGAAAGACCCCCGGGCUCAACCGGGGAGGGUCAUUGGAAACUGGGGAACUUGAGUGCAGGAGAGGAAAGUGGAAUUCCACGUGUAGCGGUGAAAUGCGUAGAUAUGUGGAGGAACACCAGUGGCGAAGGCGACUUUCUGGCCUGUAACUGACACUGAGGCGCGAAAGCGUGGGGAGCAAACAGGAUUAGAUACCCUGGUAGUCCACGCCGUAAACGAUGAGUGCUAAGUGUUGGGGGGUUUCCGCCCCUCAGUGCUGCAGCUAACGCAUUAAGCACUCCGCCUGGGGAGUACGGUCGCAAAGACUG
rnacentral:rRNA from 1 species